AUGGCCUCUGACAUGACCACGCAGACGCAAGAUCUUAGUCAGGCUCUUGUCGUGUCCGACAACCAAUUUGCUCCAUCGUUUGUGGAGGACUCGCAGCCUAUGUCCGAGAUGGCACCUGAUUCAGAGGUGUUCGAGUCUGAUUCCCUCUAUGUGCCAGUAGUGCUCGUUGAGCCAACUACUGCAGCUGUUGCCGCUGCACUCAAGCUAGCAGCAGCAAAGGCAAAGAAGGAUAGUAGGUCAAACAACAUGAAGUGGCAGCCGUUCAUGUCCACGUUCGUGCUGAACAAGAUGUGUGAGCUCAUCUCUAGUGGAGUUAGGACUGACAAGGGUUUCAAGGAGGUGCACUUGAACACCGUUGCGAAGCAGGUGUUCGAGUUCUGUGGGCAAGAGGUGUCUGCCACCCAGGUGUACAACCACCUGAGGAAGUGGAGAAGUCGAUGGAUCCAAAUGUCCAAGCUGAGAGACCUUAGCGGCGCCUCAUGGGAUGAGAACACUUGCUCCAUAGUUCUGGAGGCAGAGCACUACGCCAGCCAUGUCGCGGAUCACCCAAGGGACGCUGAGUUCCUCAACACACCUAUCCAGAACUAUAACCAGAUGCAGCACAUCUUCUCCUUCGGGCUGGCAACUGGGAAGCAUGCCAUGGGCUCGGGGGAGCCUCUUGGUUCUCCCAUGCCUGACUUCCCUGGGACCCCGGACGUCGAGAUCCUUGAUGGCCCUGACGGCGAUGGUGGUGGCGACGCCGACGACGAUGACGAUGACGACGUACAUUUUGUGUAG
rnacentral:rRNA from 1 species